UAUCAGAGGUUGGUUGGAAAGCUGAUUUAUCUGGCUCAUACAAGACCUGACCUGUCUUAUGCCGUUAGUGUUGUCAGCCAGUUCAUGCAUAAUCCAAGUGAAGCACACCAAGGUGCAAUGGAUCGAAUUCUCAGGCUCGAAACUUGAUAGAAAAUCAACUUCAGGUUAUGUAUCUUUUGUCGGUGGUAAUCUUGUAACUUGGAGGAGUAAGAAAUAGGGGUUGUGUCAAGAUCUAGCGC